rnacentral:sRNA from 1 species
CCAUAGCCCCGAUAGUAACGGUUACCCCACAGCUAGCCUGGGGAAAAGCAUUGGCGCGAGGAGUAAUAGUGGAUAGCGGGAUAAGCU